GCCAGAUCUCUGACCUCCUCCCUAUAGGCUGUCUAACUAAGGAAAUGUGAAGAGUGGUCCCUCUCCCGGGAUACCGGUGUUAAUCCCUUCUCCCCACUACUCCUCCUAGCCAACAAACGAGCCAAGAAAACACCAAGAGGUUACGUGGUAGGAAUGUCUGGCCACGACUGUGAGACAGCAGAACAGACCAGCAUGUGAUUCUAUUAAAAAGCGCUUAACCAUAAUGUCUAAAACAGGUGUGCCUGUGAGGAGUCCAGUGCUAAGGCAGUAGUUUCCUAGUGUUAUCAACUAGGCUAGGUCUAAGCUACGAAGUGGUAUAAUAGGGAGGGAGCCAUUUUUUGUCUGAAGUCGUACAUAUGAAAAAGGAGGAAGAAACAUGUGUGUAGCUGCUACAGCAUUACUAGCUAACACUGAGCUAGCAACAGAUGAUUGCAUGCCUGGAUCAGCAGUUAAGUGGAUCAUGAUGAAAGGGGAUCUUCAGCACCCAUGCGUCCCAAAUUGCACCCUAUUCCCUAUUUAGUCCACUACUUUUGACCAUAGGGCUCUGGUCAAACGUUGUGCACCAUAUAGGGAAUAGGGUGCCAUUUGAGACUUAACCAGAGAGCUAGGGUUGAGGGGGGUUCCUGCAUAGUGAGAGUGCAGCUAUGUUUACUUCCAAGGCUCAGAUGGAAACAGUGGGGUUUAUGGAAACAUUUCAGCAAGGAUUUCAUCCAGCACCUAUGAUGAAAAUUCCUUGGUGUGCUUACUUUCCAUGAAAAGUAAACACAAGCUAAGAAAAGGAGAAUGGAAAAUAAAUGUCCUCGGCUAGCCCUACCAACACUGACUUAUUUCUUUCUCACUGUACACAAAGAACUGGAUAGCUGUACAGUAGAGGUAACCGUUACAGUUCUCUCUCUCAGCCAAGGAGUUUGUCAGCCAGGCACCCCUCAUCUGAAGAAUUUAAAGACCUCACCUGGAAAUUGUGACUAUGGUGGACUAGAAACAGAUUAUCUUCAACUAGAUCUUCCGUCUUGAAAGUGUAAAACGAUUAGCAAAUAAAACAUUUCAUUUCCACCAUUGUGUGACUAACGUUACUAUGACAGUAAAAUGUAGCUAAUGUACAGCAACUGAAAUGUGUUUAACGGGGGUUGUCUCUGCAGUCAGUAUAAAUGAGGUGUGAGUUUUUGUUAGCUGUCCACGUUAUAACUAACUUUCUGUUAACGUAAAUUGGCUGGCUAAAGGAUUCAGGAAACAGUUUGCAUAAAGUUCAACUAGCUAUGAAUUACGAAUUAAUAGCUAACAGUUGUGCGUAUCUUGGAUGUUAUGGAAGUUGCUAACGUUAGUUAGCUAGUUACAAUACCUAAACAACUAACUAUUUAGCGACAUAAAAUGACGAACUGAAAUACAGUGCCCUGUCAAUCACCACACCAAACACAUGAUUAGCUCCAGACUAUUUCCAAACACGUUAACGUUAGCUAGAUAGCUACUGUAGUUAGUUAUCCAAAGCAACAACUCCUUCCUCGCAAAAAAGAAAAAAGUCUAAA